GAUGAACGCUGGCGGCGUGCCUAAUACAUGCCAGUCGAGCGAACAGACGAGGAGCUUGCUCCUCUGACGUUAGCGGCGGACGGGUGAGUAACACGUGGAUAACCUACCUAUAAGACUGGGAUAACUUCGGGAAACCGGAGCUAAUACCGGAUAAUAUAUUGAACCGCAUGGUUCAAUAGUGAAAGACGGUUUUGCUGUCACUUAUAGAUGGAUCCGUGCCGCAUUAGCUAGUUGGUAAGGUAACAGCUUACCAAGGCAACGAUGCGUAGCCGACCUGAGAGGGUGAUCGGCCACACUGGAACUGAGACACGGUCCAGACUCCUACGGGAGGCAGCAGUAGGGAAUCUUCCGCAAUGGGCGAAAGCCUGACGGAGCAACGCCGCGUGAGUGAUGAAGGUCUUCGGAUCGUAAAACUCUGUUAUUAGGGAAGAACAAAUGUGUAAGUAACUAUGCACGUCUUGACGGUACCUAAUCAGAAAGCCACGGCUAACUACGUG
rnacentral:rRNA from 1 species